ensembl:lncRNA
UUAUGGAGAACAAAUACGAGGAACUGCUCAUGUUUCUGUCUGUUGGGUCCUACCCAUCUGAAUACGAUAAGUCCCAGAGGCAAACCCUUAGGAGAUACGCCGCAAAAUUCAGGCUGAAGGGCGGAGUGCUCUUGUUUGGAAACAGGAGAGUGAUAAAAACAAAAGAAGAAGCCAUGGGACUAUUUCAAGAGUUUCAUUCAAGUCCCAUCGGUGGACACACUGGUGUACUCAAGACUCGAACUGCAAUUUGUUCCAGAUUUUACUGGUAUGGAAUGUCGGUUGACAUUGUUAAUUGGGUAUGUAUUUUUAAAGUUGUCAUUUAUAUAUAGUAUGUUAAUAGUGCACCAAUAGAAUGCAUAGUUAUCCUGAAGACCCGUACCAGAUUGAUGUACAGUAAUUAACACUGUAUCGCCACUUGAUCAAGUAUUUUUAUAGAACAUUAGCAAUUUUGUUGUUUAAUUAAUUGCGAUUGUUGGAUAAUAUAAAGAUCAUUCAAUAUGUUUAAGGUCCUGGCUUGUGACCAGUGUCAAAAAAUGGGAAAACCAUUGGCUGCUGUGCAACCACUGCAGUGUAUAAAGGUGUCACAUGUCUGGGAGCUAAUCGGAAUAGAUCUAACUGGACCUCUUCCAAAAACGUCUAGUGGCUUCCAGUACAUUAUGACUGCAACAGACUAUUUUUCAAAAUGGGUUGAGGCUUUUCCAUUAAAAAGCAAAAGUGCUGCUGAGGUAGCUCAUCAGUUGUGCUCAAUCAUAUAUAGACAUGGCUGCCCAAAACGAAUUUUAUCCGACCAAGGAAGGGAAUUUGUUAACGAGGUAAGUGUUAAGUUUACUUUUCCAUACCUCUUUAGGUAAAUACUUGGCCACAGUGUGCCAAGUAGCUGCCAGGCCAAAGGUUUUGUGUGAUUGUUUUUAAAAAACAAUUUUCUUUUUUCUUUGAAGCUCAACUCAAGACUUUGCAGCUUAAUGAAAAUAGAUAGAAGUGUCACAGCAGCGUAUCACCCUCAGACAAAUGGCCUCGACGAAAAGACAAAUGACAACAUAAAAAGAGCCCUGAGAAAAUUAGUCAACAGUCAACAGAAUGACUGGGAUGUGUAUCUGGAUGCUACACUGUUUUCUUUGAGGUCCAAGGUCCACACCACAACCAAAUACACACCAUUCCGUUUAAUGUAUGGGAGAGAAGCUACGUAUCCUUCUGAAGUUCCUGUCGAAGUCCCAAGGCUAUGGGCUGCAAAGGAUACUGGGCGCUUGGAAUCAGUUGUUGGACCAUACAAGUUAUUUGAUUCCUCUUUUCGAACACUGCAGGGGUCACGGUGGCUUUCUGAUGAGGUCAUUGAUGCAUACCUGCACCGUGUUAUUGAGAGACGAAAGAAUGCUGUACACCUGCUCUGUUCAGUAGUUGCAAGCUCGUUGUUUUCUGGGCAGUUCAGAUGCCUCACCAAGAUGAAGUUCCCAGUUGAAGACAUGUGGCUGUGCCCUGUGAACUUUGGUACACACUGGAUUCUUGUGAUUGUCAACAUUUCUGCACAGAAAAUACUGCUCAUAGACCCCAUGGGGAAUGAAGGUGUUUAUGACAGGAAAAUUCUGCGCAACUGGAGGAAUUUUCUGAGGAUGAGAGGGCAUGAAGACACCAUGGAGUGGCAGUUACACACUAUGCAACACAACAAGCAACAGGAUUCCAGCAGUUGCGGAGUUUUGCUGUUAAAGUUUGCAGAACAGUACCUUGCUUUUGGAGAGGUCAGUGAGGUGUUAACCACUACAGAAGCAGUUGUGCUGGAGCGAAUGCAGAUAGCUUGCACCCUACUUGAACAUCGAGGGAACGCUGAGGACUACUGCAUUGUUUGCUCUAUGUUAGAUGCUGAUGCUGACCGCAGCAUGAUUGAAAUGGUGCAGUGUGAAUCUUGCCAAAGAUGGGCACAUUUUGCAUGUGCAAAAUAUAAAGAGAGCAACCAAGAAUAUAAAUGCAAAAAAUGUAAGGAAAACACAUAACAACUUCAAAUAAAAACAGCUGUCUUUUCCCCUCCAUGUCUCUUUGUAUUCUUUGUCAACAUUAGAUGAUUGUGUGCUGGAGGCACGUUUUGAUACCUAAAUAAAUCCAAGCAGGAAGCAUGUUUUGAUAGUGUGAUUUGGCCAUCUGAACAUCCUACCUAAAUAAAUCCAAGCAGGAAGCAUGUUUUGAUAGUGUGAUUUGGCCAUCUGAACAUCCUACCUAAAUAAAUCCAAGCAGGAAGCAUGUUUUGAUAGUGUGAUUUGGCCAUCUGAACAUCCUACCUAAAUAAAUCCAAGCAGGAAGCAUGUUUUGAUAGUGUGAUUUGGCCAUCUGAACAUCCUACCUAAAUAAAUCCAAGCAGGAAGCAUGUUUUAAUAGUGUGAUUUGGCCAUCUGAACAUCCUACCUAAAUAAAUCCAAGCAGGAAGCAUGUUUUGAUAGUGUGAUUUGGCCAUCUGAACAUCCUACCUAAAUAAAUCCAAGCAGGAAGCAUGUUUUAAUAGUGUGAUUUGGCCAUCUGAACAUCCUACCUAAAUAAAUCCAAGCAGUAAGCAUGUUUUGAUAGUGUGAUUUGGCCAUCUGAACAUCCUACCUAAAUAAAUCCAAGCAGGAAGCAUGUUUUGAUAGUGUGAUUUGGCCAUCUGAACAUCCUACCUACCUAAAUAAAUCCAAGCAGGAAACAUGUUCUGAACGUCCUAGCGAAAUAAAUCCAAGUUUUUAAGUGUGAUUUGGCCAUCUGAACGUCCUACCUAUAGAUAUGUACGAUGGAGCCAUUAACCACGUAAGGUAGCAUAUUCUGAUAAGGUAGCACGGAUUGAUAGACAAGACCAUAAAUUUACGCUACGGUAGCGCUACGGUAGGAUGUUUUGACAAGGUAGGACGUUUUGUCAGAACACCGGAGCGAACAGGAAAGGGAAAUGGAUUUUGAACUGCAGUUUAUUAAAUUGCAAUUGGAAAAAGGAUUUUGAGAUGCAGUUUAUUAAAUUGCAAUUGGAAAAAGGAUUUUGAGAUGCAGUUUAUUAAAUUGCAAUUGGAAAAAGGAUUUUGAAAUGCAGUUUAUUAAAUUGCAAUUGGAAAAAGGAUUUUGAGAUGCAGUUUAUUAAAUUGCAACUGAAAAAAGGAUUUUGAGAUGCAGUUUAUUAAAUUGCAACUGAAAAAAGGAUUUUGAGAUGCAGUUUAUUAAAUUGCAAUUGGAAAAAGGAUUUUGAAAUGCAGUUUAUUAAAUUGCAAUUGGGAAAAGGAUUUUGAAAUGCAGUUUAUUAAAUUGGAAUUCAAAAAUGAAUUUACAAUUGCAGAAUUUAUUCUACAAUUCAUUAUUUAAGCACAGAAAUUUUUAUUUCGAUGCGCGUGGCUCUUGUGGUCCUCCACAGUUACCAAGGUCAGCAUUAUGUUGCUUGACCUCACUUUUCAUCCGGGCUUAAUGGGCGUCUCGUCAGCUGAAGCUGUCUGGGAAUCUCCCCCGUGUAGUGAAACGGGCCUUAGGUUUAACGCUCUCCGUCUCUGCUGCAUGAGAUCGCUUUCCUGCAGCACUGUUGACAUUUUCAGGUUGUUGUUGUGGGUGCAGCUGCUGCAGCAUUUGGUCAGGGUCACGCCAAAGAUGGUAGAGGGGAGAGCAGGAGUCCAGGUCAGCCUCGGCUUUCAGGGCUGGCAAAGCAGCCUAUAAUUAAGCAUAAAGAGAAAAAACAAAACAAAAACAAACGAACAGGAAAAUUAUGUUGUGUUGGCUGUGUUAUUCAGAGAGGGGAGAAACACCGGGCCAGGCCCUGUGUCAGCCUUCUCUCCCCUUUUUUGUUUUUUCUCACGAUAUAAUCAACUCAUAACCCACCAAGUUGACAGGACAACACAGGUACACGUUAAAAUCUUAAGAUCAUGUUUAAAAGCACAAAAAGGAAUUUU